CAAUAAGCGGAGGAAAAGAAACCAACAGGGAUUGCCUCAGUAACGGCGAGUGAAGCGGCAACAGCUCAAAUUUGAAAUCUGGUCCUUUCAGGCCCCGAGUUGUAAUUUGUAGAGGAUGUUUCGGGUACGGCGCGGGUCUAAGUCCUUUGGAACAGGGCAUCAUAGAGGGUGAGAAUCCCGUAUGUGACCCGGUGACCAAAUCCACAUGAAACCCCUUCGACGAGUCGAGUUGUUUGGGAAUGCAGCUCAAAAUGGGUGGUAAAUUUCAUCUAAAGCUAAAUACCGGCCAGAGACCGAUAGCGCACAAGUAGAGUGAUCGAAAGAUGAAAAGCACUUUGGAAAGAGAGUCAAAAAGUACGUGAAAUUGUUGAAAGGGAAGCGCUUGCAACCAGACCUGUCCGCGGGCGAUCAGCCUCCGUUCUCGGGGGUGCACUUGUCCGCGAUCAGGCCAGCAUCGGUUCGGGCGGGCGGAUAAAGGCCUUGGGAAUGUAGCUCUCUCCGGGGAGUCUUAUAGCCCUUGGUGCAAUGCGGCCAGCCCGGACCGAGGACCGCGCUUCGGCUAGGAUGCUGGCGUAAUGGUUGUAAGCGACCC
rnacentral:rRNA from 1 species